UUUUACAGGGUCAGUCAUAGUAGUAUGAUAGGUGUUGUUUUACAGGGUCAGUCAUAGUAGUAUGAUAGGUGUUGUUUUACAGGGUCAGUCAUAGUAGUAUGAUAGGUGUUGUUUUACAGGGUCAGUCAUAGUAGUAUGAUAGGUGUUGUUUUACAGGGUCAGUCAUAGUAGUAUGAUAGGUGUUGUUGUACAGGGUCAUAGUAGUAUGAUAGGUGUUGUUGUACAGGGUCAGUCAUAGUAGUAUGAUAGGUGUUGUUUUACAGGGUCAGUCAUAGUAGUAUGAUAGGUGUUGUUUUACAGGGUCAGUCAUAGUAGUAUGAUAGGUGUUGUUGUACAGGGUCAUAGUAGUAUGAUAGGUGUUGUUGUACAGGGUCAUAGUAGUAUGAUAGGUGUUGUUGUACAGGGUCAGUCAUAGUAGUAUGAUAGGUGUUGUUGUACAGGGUCAGUCAUAGUAGUAUGAUAGGUGUUGUUGUACAGGGUCAGUCAUAGUAGUAUGAUAGGUGUUGUUGUACAGGGUCAGUCAUAGUAGUAUGAUAGGUGUUGUUUUACAGGGUCAAACAUAGAGCGAAUCAGGGUUAAGUGCCUUGCUUGAGGCCACAUGGACAGAUUUUUCACCUUGUCGGCUGAACAUUCACCUCAGUCAAUAAGAGACAUUCACAUUCACCUCAGUCAAUAAGAGACUGAACAUUCACCUCAGUCAAUAAGAGACUGAACAUUCACCUCAGUCAAUAAGAGACUGAACAUUCGCCUCAGUCAAUAAGAGACUGAACAUUCACCUCAGUCAAUAAGAGACUGAACAUUCACCUCAGUCAAUAAGAGACUGAACAUUCACCUCAGUCAAUAAGAGACUGAACAUUCACCUCAGUCAAUAAGAGACUGAACAUUCACCUCAGUCAAUAAGAGACUGAACAUUCACCUCAGUCAAUAAGAGACUGAACAUUCACCUCAGUCAAUAGGAGACUGAACAUUCACCUCAGUCAAUAAGAGACUGAACAUUCACCUCAGUCAAUAAGAGACUGAACAUUCA